GACCUACCCUCUUCUUUCUCUUUUUCUGGCUGUUGGGUAACAUGAGGAAUGCUUUGUUAAAUAUUCCCCUCCAUCUGCUGUCUACCAAGAUUAGAUCUUCUGGCUCACUCACUGGUUCCAGACAUUUAAGACCAAACGGUGGGCAGCCUCUCGUUUCCACGGCCGGCUUGGGUCUCAUCAAGCAGGAAUUUGACCUUGACUUCCAGACACCGAAUCUACAAACCAAAAGCUAGAACUAACUUGAUCGGGGGAAGGCAUCAGAAUGUGAAGUUCUGCCACAGGAGGACGGAGUUGAAGUUGGAAGCUGGACCCUAGCCUAUGGUGCCAUGAGCUCCUUUGCCAACUGUCCCUCCCAGUCCUCUCCAGGGCAAAGGGGAAGUUAGUGGAGAGGGGGCCCCUUCCAUAGUUGGCUUGCAUGCCUCAGUUUUGAACCAACUCUUUCCCUCAUUUAUGGUGGCACACGGAAGGAGGAGGAGAAAGAAGCAUGUCCCCAAACCACAGCACUUUUGUAAUCAGUGACUUUGGAAAUCUUCUUCUUGACUGGCUUGCUUCCUUCAAAAUGGCCAGUUACUUCCUUAAAAUAAAUCUAUGAACAAGGA